GGGAGGUAGUGACAAUAAAUAACAAUACGGGGUUCUUCGAAUCUCGUAAUUGGAAUGAGUACAAUUUAAAUCUCUUAACGAGGAACAAUUGGAGGGCAAGUCUGGUGCCAGCAGCCGCGGUAAUUCCAGCUCCAAUAGCGUAUAUUAAAGUUGUUGCAGUUAAAAAGCUCGUAGUUGAAUUUCGGGGUCAGCAGGUUGGUCUUGCCACUGGUAUGUACUAGCUUGCUGAUUCCUCCUUCUUGUAGAACCGUAAUGACAUUAAUUUGGUGUCGUGGGGAAUCAGGACUGUUACUUUGAAAAAUUAGAGUGUUUAAAGCAAGCAUUAGCUUGAAUACAUUAGCAUGGAAUAAUGAAAUAGGACGUUUGAUCCUAUUUCGUUGGUUUCUAGGAUCGACGUAAUGAUUAAUAGGGAUAGUUGGG
rnacentral:rRNA from 1 species